CCUACGGGGGGCUGCAGUGGGGAAUAUUGGACAAUGGGCGCAAGCCUGAUCCAGCCAUGCCGCGUGAGUGAUGAAGGCCCUAGGGUUGUAAAGCUCUUUUGUGCGGGAAGAUAAUGACUGUACCGCAAGAAUAAGCCCCGGCUAACUUCGUGCCAGCAGCCGCGGUAAUACGAAGGGGGCUAGCGUUGCUCGGAAUCACUGGGCGUAAAGCGCACGUAGGCGGACUCUUAAGUCGGUGGUGAAAUCCUGGAGCUCAACUCCAGAACUGCCUUCGAUACUGGGAGUCUCGAGUUCGGGAGAGGUGAGUGGAACUGCGAGUGUAGAGGUGAAAUUCGUAGAUAUUCGCAAGAACACCAGUGGCGAAGGCGGCUCACUGGCCCGAUACUGACGCUGAGGUGCGAAAGCGUGGGGAGCAAACAGGAUUAGAUACCCUAGUAGUC
rnacentral:rRNA from 1 species